UACAGAGGGUGCGAGCGUUAAUCGGAAUUACUGGGCGUAAAGCGCACGUAGGCGGCUUGGUAUGUCGGGUGUGAAAUCCCCGGGCUCAACCUGGGAACUGCAUCCGAAACUGCCUUGCUAGAGUAUGGGAGAGGGAAGUGGAAUUUCCGGUGUAGCGGUGAAAUGCGUAGAUAUCUGGAGGAACACCGGUGGCGAAGGCGGCGUUCUGGACUGCAACUGACACUGAGAAGCGAAAGCAUGGGGAGCGAACAGG
rnacentral:rRNA from 1 species